rnacentral:rRNA from 1 species
UACAGAGGGGGCAAGCGCUGUUCGGAAUUACUGGGCGUAAAGGGCGCGUAGGCGGCCUUCUAAGUCAAACGUGAAAUCCCUCGGCUUAACCGGGGAACUGCGUCUGAUACUGGAUGGCUGGAGUUUGGGAGAGGGAUGCGGAAUUCCAGGUGUAGCGGUGAAAUGCGUAGAUAUCGAGAGGAACACCUGCGGCGAAGGCGGGUUGCUGGGCUGACACUGACGCUGAUGCGCGAAAGCCAGGGGAGCGAACGGG